AUAGUGUGACAGAGCCAUGGAUCACUGAUGACAGUACUGCACAAGGAAGAGAGAGUAUCAAAUGGAAUGUGCAAGGGCAAACUAAAUUAGUUGGCUUUCUUUUCCAUUAUUAAAACUUUUUCCCACACAGUUAGGGGUGACAUUCCUGCAAAGAGUUUAGCUUCUGAACACCUUUAGAGCAUAGCUGAGAAGUUCACAACCAAUGACAAAAUGGAGGCUAGUAUGCUGCUAGACAAACUGAAUUCCUGCGUUUAGAAAUAUUACAUAUGCACUGAGUUGGGAGCAUACACACUUUUAGAUUAACAAACGCCUCCUGCAAUUUACUAUAUAUCUAUUGAGUGAUUACUGUUUAUUUUCACUGUUCAUCUACAGUAAAAAAACAGUUUUGGGCUCGGGCUGCAUUUCGUCGCUUUGUAUAUCUCUCUCUCGAUCUCUCUCGAUCUCUCUCGACCUCUCUCGAUCUCUCUCGACCUCUCUCGCCGCUUUGUAUAUCUUUUUCUUGAUGUCUCUCUAUCUCAUUCAGCCACUUCCACCUUUCUUCCUCUCUCUCGAUCUCAAGCUCUCCUUCCUUCUUUUUCGUCACUUCUUUCAUCUCUUGGACGUACACCAGACUGAAAGAGAGAGGGAGACCAAAGACUGAAAGAGAGAGUUUGGCUAAGCAUCCUGGGUUUUUGAUGAAUUCAGGUUUGGAUCAGAGAAAGACGGAGAGAGGGAGGGCAGAGGUGGUGCUUUCGGUCGAGUACCCAACAAAGCUCUGAAGGGAGAUUUUAUCAACACCAAGAAAGGUUUUUCCUUUGGUCAUCCAAAGCCUAGAGAACAGAUUAAGGAGCUUGG